rnacentral:rRNA from 1 species
UACGGGGGGGGCAAGCGUUGUUCGGAAUUACUGGGCGUAAAGGGCUCGUAGGUGGCCAACUAAGUCAGACGUGAAAUCCCUCGGCUUAACCGGGGAACUGCGUCUGAUACUGGAUGGCUUGAGUUCGGGAGAGGGAUGCGGGAAUUCCAGGUGUAGCGGUGAAAUGCGUAGAUAUCUGGAGGAACGCCGGUGGCGAAGGCGGCAUCCUGGACCGGCAUUGACGCUGAGGAGCGAAGCCAGGGGAGCAAACAGG